CGCUGGCGGCGUGCCUAAUACAUGCGAGUAGAACGCUGAAGGAGGAGCUUGCUUCUCUGGAUGAGUUGCGAACGGGUGAGUAACGCGUAGGUAACCUGCCUGGUAGCGGGGGAUAACUAUUGGAAACGAUAGCUAAUACCGCAUAAGAGUAGAUGUUGCAUGACAUUUGCUUAAAAGGUGCAAUUGCAUCACUACCAGAUGGACCUGCGUUGUAUUAGCUAGUUGGUGGGGUAACGGCUCACCAAGGCGACGAUACAUAGCCGACCUGAGAGGGUGAUCGGCCACACUGGGACUGAGACACGGCCCAGACUCCUACGGGAGGCAGCAGUAGGGAAUCUUCGGCAAUGGACGGAAGUCUGACCGAGCAACGCCGCGUGAGUGAAGAAGGUUUUCGGAUCGUAAAGCUCUGUUGUAAGAGAAGAACGAGUGUGAGAGUGGAAAGUUCACACUGUGACGGUAUCUUACCAGAAAGGGACGGCUAACUACGUG
rnacentral:rRNA from 1 species